CGGUGGUGAUUGCGACAAGGUCACACCCGUUCCCAUCCCGAACACGGAAGUUAAGCUUGUCUGCGCCGAUGGUACUGCACGGGCAGCUGUGUGGGAGAGUAGGUCGCCGCCGGAUU
rnacentral:rRNA from 2 species